AUUGAACGCUGGCGGCAUGCCUUACACAUGCAAGUCGAACGGCAGCGCGGGGCAACCUGGCGGCGAGUGGCGAACGGGUGAGUAAUAUAUCGGAACAUACCCUAGAGUGGGGGAUAACGUAGCGAAAGUUACGCUAAUACCGCAUACGCACUAAGGUGGAAAGUGGGGGGAUCUUCGGACCUCAUGCUCAUGGAGUGGCCGAUAUCUGAUUAGCUAGUUGGUGAGGUAAAGGCUCACCAAGGCGACGAUCAGUAGCUGGUUUGAGAGAACGACCAGCCACACUGGAACUGAGACACGGUCCAGACUCCUACGGGAGGCAGCAGUGAGGAAUUUUGGACAAUGGGGGCAACCCUGAUCCAGCAAUGCCGCGUGAGUGAAGAAGGCCUUCGGUUGUAACUGCUUUGUACGGUAACGAAAAGGACUCUGGUUAAUACCUGGGCGACAUGACGGUACCGUAAGAAUAAG
rnacentral:rRNA from 1 species